rnacentral:rRNA from 1 species
GACGAACGCUGGCGGCGUGCCUAACACAUGCAAGUCGAGCGAAUGAAGUUCCUUCGGGAGUGGAUUUAGCGGCGGACGGGUGAGUAACACGUUGGCAACCUGCCUCAUAGAGGGGAAUAGCCUUCCGAAAGGGAGAUUAAUACCGCAUAAGAUUGUAGUAUCGCAUGAUACAGCAAUUAAAGGAGCAAUCCGCUAUGAGAUGGGCCCGCGGCGCAUUAGCUAGUUGGUGAGGUAACGGCUCACCAAGGCGACGAUGCGUAGCCGACCUGAGAGGGUGAUCGGCCACAUUGGGACUGAGACACGGCCCAGACUCCUACGGGAGGCAGCAGUGGGGAAUAUUGCACAAUGGGGGAAACCCUGAUGCAGCAACGCCGCGUGAGUGAUGAAGGCCUUAGGGUUGUAAAGCUCUGUCUUCAGGGACGAUAAUGACGGUACCUGAGGAGGAAGCCACGGCUAACUACGUG